rnacentral:lncRNA from 1 species
AGAAAGUGAAAGCGUGAAAGAGAGCUCAACUGAUUCAGCAAAAGUUGUGGGAAGUGUGAAGCGGAAAGCACCAAGUUUGUUGAAGGCGCAGGGAAGUGAUUCGAAGUCUGGAAAAAAGCGGCAAAGGUGAGUUGAAAGUUGCACCUACUGCAUUGUCAUUGCCAAGGGUUGGUUCUUCUGCAAUGUGGAACUUGGGUGAAUUGUAGUAUUUAUUGUAGCAUUUGGGUAUUUGACGUAGUUCAUAGGUUUGUGGCUAGCAAAAAUUCGUAGUUAAUGCAGUUUAUAGUGGUUGUACUUUGUAGGGUUAAGAUACCUUUUUUAUAUAGAUAUAGUUUUUUUCCUUUUCCUUUAUUAUUGAUGUAGGCAAUAGGAUCACAUUGGGUUUAGAGUUUUUGCCUUUGUACUAAAGAGUUGCUUCUAUAGAUUAACGUAAUAGAUUCGAUUCAAGAAACUGUGGAAGCAGUGGUGGCGUAUCUUUUUCUAUCGAAUGCCUUCCCUCCACCGCCCCCCUUUUUAACGAUUUGCUUCUUUUUUUUUUCGUUUGGUCCGAUUACAUUUUUUUCUAAAAGUAAAUAUAAAACUUAACUGAUAGCACACGAGAUAAGGUAUUAUCUAUUUUUAUAUUUAUAAAGUUUUUCCUAUUCUUUUAAAUUACAAUUACAAAUUGAAGUGGUGUCAACAUUGUUGUUUAGUUACUGUACUCUACGUAGAAGUAAACGAAAUCGAACAGGUUUUGGAUUUUCAUCUUUGUUUGAUAUGAAGAAGUGCUCGUCUGGGUGAAGAUUGUGUAGAUGGAUGGGUGGAGUUAAUUCUUACACAUCGAUUGGUGAUAAAGCAAAUGAGAAAGGGACUCGACAAAUUCUGGGGAAGGCCAACGUGGGAAGGUUGAGGUUCAAUGGCUUCACAAAUGGAUGAUCACCGGCAUUUGAUUGUUUCAUUUGUUUGAACUUUUUGGUGGAUUUAUUUCUUAAUUUUGAUUCGGUCAAUUUCAGGUUUUUAUAUUUUUAUAUUUGGUCAAUUUAUUUAUGAAGUAGUUCUAUUUUUUUGGUUUUUGUUAUAUGAUUCGACUAAUAAAUGUUUUUAUCAGUGGAUUGUAAACCAUAUGUUAAGAAAAUCACUGACACAAAUUAUACACCAAGAGAUUAAGACUUACCUUAAGAAUAUUUCUUAAAAGUGUUAAAAUUUUUUAAUUUUUGAAAAAAAGUGUUUUCCGGCUAAUUUUUUACUUAAGGGAAGUAUUUUUUCUUUCAAACAAUGGUUUAUUUAGAAUAUUCUUGUUCCAAAAAUACUUUUUGUCACAAAAUAUUUUUUAAAAGUAAUACUAAAUUGAUUCUAAAAAGUGGUAGAUGUAUAAUUCUUAGCAAAGUAAGAAUCAAUGACGAUUAUUAAAAAUUAUAGAGAUUUCUGACACAUUAGAUACCACCAAAAUUUUCUGUCAAAUGUAAUAAGGUCCAUAGAAUUAAAAGGGUCGCUGCUCUGGUCUAAUGGAUUGUUAUGAAAAAUAAAUUGAGGUUACAACCAAAGUUUAAUGUAUUCGAUUUAGACUUGUUCAUAGGUCGGGUCACUUGAAAAAUGAGAGGAUUUGAGUAAAAAUAUAAGUCAGAAAAUGGGUUUGGACAAAAAAAAAUAAGACCCAUUUAAAAAACGAGUCAGGCCUUGGGUAAGGCUUUUUAGCCCAGGCCCAUUCCAGCCCAAAUAUGAAAAAAAAUUACUGCUUUUCCUUGUUGUUUUUUACUCUCUUUUUUGUGGUUGUUAUUUUUUCAUUAUUUUGCCGCCAUUUCACUAUUGUGUUAGCACUAUUUUGUAGUUAUUGUUCGGAUAUUGUAUAACUUUUAUUUUAUUGUUAAUUUUGUUACAAUUUUAAAAUGAUUUGCUUGUUAAAUUGCACCUAUAUUUGUGUUAUUUAAGUAUACAUAUAUAUUUAUUUUCAAUUUGUUGGGAAACAUUUAUUUUAUUAUUUUUAGUAUUUUUGAUGUAUUAUAUGUAUUUUAAAUUUUAUAUAAUAAAUAAUAUAAAAAAUUAAUAUAGGCGGGCCAGACCUGAGUUUUAGCAUUCUUAUCCGAGCCGGGCUUAGGCAAAAUAUUAUGCUCAUUUUUGGGCUAGGUCAAUUCUGGGCCCAACAAAUGGGCCUACAUUUUUUGUUGGGCCCAACCUAGCCCAUUGAUACCUCUAAUUCGAUUGUGACAAAUAAAACUAUCAUAUAUCAAUUCUCAAAUUGGAUAACGGUUAAUGAACAUCUAUCAAUAGUUGUUUUAAAUUAUCUAGGGUUUAGGGUUUGAUUAUGGAACUUUAUGCAAAAUUAGAUAUAAUAUACAACCAUUGAGAAAAGACAUUACAUUGCGUGAAGGCAGAUCAGUCUUAAGUCAAUAUGUUAUCGGAUCGAUUGUUGAAUAAAUUAUUUACUGAGUAAGAUUUCGUAAAGUAAAAUUAUUUUUCAAAUCUACGUUGACAAAGUUUAUAUGUCUACAAUUGAUAACUUUAUCUUGUUGAAACAUUUAUUGAGACAAUUUAUUUAAACAUAAACUAAUUUACAUAGAAAAUUUUGAUAGAAUUUAGUACAUUUGAUGUUUAAAAAUUCAAGUAAAAAAAAAUGCAUUACCUUAUAAAGUCAACCAGAAAUAUCAACGCUAUUCUACUAUUGUUUGGAUAUUUGUAAGAAAUAAAACAAUGAAGUACUGAAAAUCAUUGCGUAAUUCGUAAAACAACGUUUGACCUGAUUUAGUAUAUUUAUUAGCCAUUUUUUAUAAUCACAUUAAACAAAACCAAUAUACAUGAAAACGUAAAUCAACAAAGAAAUUGCAGUAAAAGAAAACUUAUUAAUAAAAUCAUUAAUUUUCUUUUUCUCUUUUCCAUUUAAAGAUAAUUUUAAAAUAAAAUAAUCUCAUACGUUGAAGUGAAAUCACAUCCACUCAACCAAGAAAUAGAAAUACAAGUGUUAGAAAGGGACUACUCUCUCAAAUUAAUUAUAUCUCAUCCAUUUUUAAUUUAAUAUAAUAACAUAUAACAAUAAUUAAUCACUAUAGUUAAUAUUUAUUUAUUUAUUACUUUAAAUAUAAUAAUAAAUUAAGUUUUUAAUGUUUAUAUAUUUUAUCAAUUUAGUCUUAAAAAUACAUAUAAAAAAAUAAAAGUACACAUUUUGAGGGCUAAAUUUAUUAUUAUAUAAAAAAUAAAUAAAUAUUAAUAUUGUGAUUAAUUAUCAUUAAAUGCUCACUGUUAAAAUUGACAAGGAUUAUACUAUUUUGAUUUUUUUUUAUAAAGAACAAUUUAUUUAAUAUUGAAAUAAAAAAUUUUAAAAUUGGAUCACUUAUCGAAUUUAUCAUACCACUAAUUCAUCAAUUAAGUUAAUUCGAUUAAAUAAAUUAUUUAAAAAUUAUAAAAACAAAAAAAAUUAAACGUGUAGUUCAAUUGAUUUUUUGUCCAAUUUUAUUAAUCUAUAACAAAUUUCGAAUAAUUUAUUCUGGUUUAAGUUGUUCCACCAAUCAAAUGGAGUACCAUUCAAACAACCUUAAUUGAGAUAGAGGGGAAUUCAUUUUACCUGUAAAUAUAAUUUAAUAUAAUAUUUUUGGACGAUAAUUUAAUAUAAUUUAAAAUAACUUAGUUGUAUAUUUGUAUUGCCGUAAGUUGCUUUUUUGGAAGAAAAUGUCAUUUCAGGCAUAAUAAAAGCCGGAAAGCAAACAAGGCAACAAUAAAAUCAAGCGGUCUAAAGAACUCCACGAGGUCCCCGCUUCCACAGAGUCAAAAGGUGGAUUUAAAGCGUGUAAUUUAACUCCAAUUCAUAAGCACGGCGGAAUCCGAGCACAGCCUCGCUGGAUUCUCCUUAAAGCGCACAAAAAUACACACAACAAAAUCGAUCAAAGAGAGUAAGGAAGAAAAUGAAAAAGCUAAAAUAUUUAAAAUUAUAAAAUUUAUCUUUUACUAUGUUAAAAAAUAAAUGAUCUUUUACAGUAUUCCCUCUGCAAUUUUUUAAUUAAACAAAAAAAAAAAAACCCCUCACCCCAUCAACUUCCGCUUUCUCGUUCGGGAAAAAACCCCGAAAACCCUAACUUUCUCUCGAGUAAAAUCUCCUUCUCCCUCUCUCGCUGAAUCCACCUUUCGUUUUACGUUUUAUGGCCUUUCGCGUGAGUCUGUAGGUUUUCAAUGGUGUGAAAUCGAGGCCUUAGAUUAAGAUUUGAAGGAUCGGUUUCUGUAUAUUUAGGUACAUACUACAUAGAAUAUAUAUUUUUUCAUAGAGAAAAAAGCUAUGACGACAUCUGAGAAAGAGCUGGAGCUACAGUUAAUGGAGGCUGGAAACAGGCUCGUCGAACCCCCGUCGUCAGUCGCUGAGAUCAUCCCUCUCCUUGACGUAAUCCCUAAUCCAUCCUUUUACUAUUUUUCCUUAACUUCGUUUUGCUCUUCGUUAAUUUUUUUCCUUAUUAUUUGAUUUGUCUGAUUUUAUUAUGUAUGCGUUUUCGAAAUUUUUCGUGUGGUUCUUUCUAUGCAAUUAAGUUUGUUAGAUUUCCCCCAUACUGAUCUACUUUUACCCUUUUUUUUUCUAGGAUUUUCUUCUUUUGCAUUGUUUUCACGUGCUUAUUUCUGCUCUUGUUCUCACUGAUGUAAGAUUGAAUCAGUUUAAAAGUGUUUUCUGCUAAUGGGUAUUGUUUAGCACUCUUCAGUCUAAACUAUUGUAAUUUAUAUUUAUUGUGGAUAUAUUGCCAUGUCUAUGUUUUUGAAUUUGAUGAAUUACUGAUACGCACGACGUGUUUGCUUUACUAGACUUUAAAUGCCGGAAUUUCUUUUUUUUUUUUUUUGGAUACUAAUGCUAUGCAGUAGCUAAUAUUUGGAUGAAAUGAUACACAGUUUUGAGAUUUCUUUUGAAUUCAAAAUUGCCCAAGCUGCAUUUAAGUGAUUGCAUAUGUGAAAGUGUGCGUUUUUCUUCUCCAUAUGUCACAUGUAGGCUUUAAGUUUAUGAAACCUGAGGAUUAGUAUAUAAUAGAUAUAUCAUUAUUUUUUGUUUAAAUAAUUAAGCACCACCUAUGUUUAGCAAUUAAUUUCUGACAGGCUAGUUAAAUUUUUAAUAAACAACUUGUGAUGACAUUGAAAGCAUUGAAAAUUAAGUUGGGAAGGAUGUGUAGAUAUUGUGUGAAAGGAUUCCUUGUAAGCAAGGAUUUUGUUGGACAUGUGAGAUUACGAUGUUAUUGCAUAAAACAUUUAUGUUAAUUAUAGAUAUAUUUGCAAAUAUUUAAUCUAUUUCCUUAGAGGGAUGAUGCAUCGGAAUCUGUUACUUUUAAUGAAUUUAACCUCAUCUUUUCUAUACCUCUAGGAAGAUCUGUCCUGCCAAAAUUUUGUGUCCCAAAUAAGGAGCUAUUAAAAUCCACUAUGGAUGAUUGAUAGGAUAGAAUUUUGACUCUAUACUUGAUGAUGUCCUUAUUUUUAUGGUCUUUGCAACGUUUUGGUUUUCUUCUGCCCCAGAACUCCUUUUACAAAUGAUAGUAAUGUCAAAGAAGAUUCUGGAAUUGUGAUAUACCGCACAACUCUGUUGCUAUUCCCUGUUUAGAAAAAAUUAUGUGUACUCAUGAUGUCAAGCAAGAAAACUUUGAAGAGGAUGUGCAAAAAAAGUGAUACUAGUGCAACUAUUCGUUUUCCUUUGGUAGAUUGUUUUGAUUGGAAUCAAUGUCUCCUUUAAAUCAUCACUCUAGGUUUAGCGUCUCUUAGGGUUUUACUACUUGUUCUUGAGUAGGUGGCUGCUAUAAAACCGUGCAUGAAUUCUGUUUUCGAAUGCCCUAGGAAUUUAGUAAUGACUGCAGUGUGAUUCCAGUGAUGAGUGUGUGCUGAAGUGUUUGGUUUGUAGUCAAUUUGAAGUACAAAAUUUUAAGUAUUUUGGUUUUGCUCUCCUUAUUUUACAAGGGGAUAAUUCGUGUUGCAUUUUUUUUACUGCCAGCUUUACCCUUCUAUUUCUGUUCUUGUGGGGCAUUAUAGCUGUAUAGUUAAUUUUUGCACUUCCUAAUGAUGUGUGGGAUGAUUGAUUGUUUGAAUUUUUAGGUGCUUUAGCAUUCCCGUGUUUUGCCUUAUGCCAGUGCCUUUUAUAAAUACUUUUCACAUUGAUGAUUAUUGUUUAUUCUUUUCUAUCCUUCGUGAAUACAGCAAGUUGAGAGUUGUCUUUCAAUGGUGGAACAAUCACCAAGCCAAUCAAUGCAAAAUGCACUGUCUCCAUCACUCAAAGCAUUAGUAGCAGAGCAACUGUUCAGACAUCCUGAUGAUGAUGUAAAAGUUGCAGUUGCUGCUUGCAUCAGCGAGAUAACAAGGAUAACUGCACCUGAUGCUCCUUAUGAUGAUGACCAAAUGAGGGUACGUUGAAUUCAUUGCUUCAGGAUGCUUUGCAGAUCAUGACCAUUUUAAAAUCAUUUUCUGUAUUUAUUGCCUUUAAUAUGUAUGCAGGAGGUUUUUCAACUGAUUGUGUCAUCCUUAAAGAAUUUAUCUGACAAGUCCAGCCGUUCAUUCAUUAAGAGGACCUCGAUUCUUGAAACUGUUGCCAAAGUCAGAUCGUGUGUGGUGAUGUUGGAUCUUGAAUGUGAUGCCCUUAUUGUUGAGAUGUUCCAGCAUUUCCUCAAGGCAAUAAGGUAAAAGCGAACUUCUUGAAUGGAGAGUUCAUUCUCUUGUUGUGUUUCAUCAUUGUUAUUCUUCAGCUAUUGUCUCCUCGUUACUGUCUGAUUUGUAAGUUUUUAUCUUUUUAAGUUUAUUGCUUUUGAAAACUCUUGUGGAUGAACCUGUGCUUUUGCAGAAGCUGUUCUCUUAAUGUCAAGUGAUGAUCAUGGCUGCUGUGAAAUUUGAACUAUGUGUUUAAAAUGAUAGACUGCUAUAUAGGUUUCUGAAUAAUGGAGAUUAUGCUCCCUCUAGAGUGUCUGGAUUUAAACCUUUCAUUAUCUAGUUGCCUAUGCUAGGUAACAGAUCCUCAGUUCCUUCUAAUCUGAACAAAGUUUAAGUGCUUUUUUAAGAAUUCUAAGUUCCUUUAGGGAGCUUUGUCUUGGUCAAGUUUUUAAUAGAGUUUGUUUUCAUAUUAAAAUUUUGUCGUCAUCCAAAUGUACCACUACUUAACUAGAGUAUAUUACUAGUAUGAAAAAUAAUAAAAAUGGUUUUAGUAUUCUGUGUCGAACAUGUAUUCUGAACCUUUAUUUUCCUUAUGAUUCUUUUUGUUUAUUUUUUCAGGGAUUAUCAUGCAGAGGCUGUCUUUACAUCGAUGGUGACUAUUAUGACACUUGUGCUGGAAGAAAGUGAAGAUAUCCCUACAGAACUGCUCUCCCCAAUCUUAUCUAGUGUAAAGAAGGAUAAUGAGGUCUGUUGUCAUACGAGUAAGUUACUGCCUUUCACUUCUGCUAUCUUUGCUUAAUUCACCUAGGGUUUCUAUUUCCUCUCAGGAAGUUCUUCCUGUUGCUCGGAAGUUGGCAGAGAAAGUGCUUGAAAACUGUGCAUCAAAGCUUCAACCAUACCUAACCCAAGCUGUAGAGAACUUGGGAAUUUCUUUUGAUGAUUAUAGUAGUAUAGUUGCUUCUAUAUGUGGAGCGACAGCUGGUGCUGUAGAGCGGGAUGAUGCUGCUGUUGGAAAACUUGUGGUAAUUACCUCAUUUGUAUCUUAAUGUAACUGCUUAAUUUCAAAGUCUGUGGUUUGAGGGCAAUUAUUUACUUAUUUUGUGCUGUGAUUUUGUAUGAAUUUCGACUCAGCAUUAUUUGCUGAUAGAUUAUUUGCUACUUAAUUAUACAAAAUUUAAUGCUUUUUAUUUAUAUAUUUUGUUUGUCAACGCUUUGUUCUUGGGCUUUUUGUGGCUUAUCUUUUAAUUUUUUCUUUUGUUCAAACUAUUCUUCAAACCAACAAGGUUUUGGCUCGUGCUUAUACCUUACUGAUGUCUUCUAUUUUUUUAUUAACGUAACUUAGUCUCCAACUCUCCUUAUGUUUUUCUUUUUGGGUUGAUUUGCUGUAGGAUGAUGAGAGAAUACCAGCAGAGGCACCUUUGGAUAACGCAGCCCAGGUAUGUUUUAUUUCGUAUAUUUAUUGUCAAUUGUGUGAUUCUUCUCUUUGCGUGCAGAUUCAAGUCCUUUCUCUUUCCUUUUAAUGUAUUGAUUUUUUUUUUUUUUUGAGAAUUUAAUUCCUGAAUUUGUCAUUUAUAAAUCUUAAAAAUUCCUAUCAGGAGGUUAAAAAGAUUCCUAAAGAAGCAGUUUCAGUUGAACAAGUGGCCCUUGUAAAUGAAAAGACUCCUGUGCCAGUUGCUUGCAAUGGCAUUAUGCAAACUGUUGAUUCAAUCUCUGUAAAGAAGCAAGAGGAUGAUAACAUUGCUGAUAAGUCUGAGAAUGAAACAUCAACUGUGGCUGAACCUGAUUUAUUCGAAGCUGAAAAAGUGGUCGAUCCGGACCCUAAGUUAGAGCAAAGUCCCCAGGAAAAGGAGAGGAAAUCUGAUUCAAAAUUAACUGAACCUUCUGGCAGUUCUCAUGUUGAUGAGAAGGAAGUUGAGACUAUACCGGAUCGUAAACAUGACUGCAAGGAUGAUGCUGGUUCUCCAUGUCGAGAUGUGUCUGUUGAUGGGGAUAUAUCCUCUGAAAAUAGAAUAGAGACAGAUUUACAGCAUUCCUCUCCAAAAGCAAUUGAGGAUAAAUCGACUGAUGUUGCUUCCUCAACACCAAGUGGGACUGUAAUUGAUGAUGGUCAUUCCAAAAGGGUAUCAAGGACAAAAAAGAAAGACAGCGUAAGCAAGGACACAACAUGUUCUGUUGAUGAUGUCUCUAAAAAGGCGCAUUCAGGGACAAGUGAUUCUGAAGCAAAAUUAAAUAGACGAUCAGGAAAAAAGGGUUCUACUGUAGUUUCCAACGAGGACAAUGCUCCAGUUAGUGUAGAUGAAACUAAGAAAGAAAGUGACAUUGCAAGUGAUUCGGAGGCAAAAUCACUGAAGAAGUCAUCAAAGAAGGUAGAUUCUAGUGGUAACAACUUAGAUAAAUCCUCUUCAAAGCAACUGGAGGAUAAGAAUAGGCGAGCUAGGGGGAAAGUUGCUCCUGAGAAGGAUGGAACAAAAAACUCAACCAAGAAUGAUGAUGAGGUAAUUUCUUUUUGGCUUAUAACUUGUAAUUUAGCUAUUGUGGUAAUGUUGAUUAUUCAAAACUUUGUGAUUUAUUUGUUUAGCUGUACUUGAUCCUUCUAUCAAGGGAAUCAUUCUUGCUUACUAUUGAUUUAGGAAGUGAUUGGAUCUUCAAAGUCAGUGAAGCCAAACAAACAAGAUUCUCACAAGGAGGGGACCCCUAAGACAAAUUCCAAGAGAAAGCAUAUGCCAAUUAAAGAAAAAGUAAUGUCUUUUUGCAUCUUUGAGGAUGAAAUUUUAGUAGUGGUGUAUUGUAGUUUUGGUAGGUUGCAUUUAAAUAAAGGUGGCAUCUACGCUGCUACGAUUUUUCAUGUUUAUUGAUGUACUGUGUUUGUUUCUAAUGUUCGAAGCAUAUCUAGACAUAGAUAUGGGCCUAUGUACUUGCAAGGGGCCUCUAAAUACAUGGAAAAUUUGAAAAAAUUAAACGUACCUGUGUCCAGCACUAACAUCUCAGUCUGAGAAACAUAGGCCAGAAUUGUAGGUGGCCUUUGAUGAUGUUUGUGCGUUUGAACUCUUAAUGAUUUCUCCAUUCUUGCAUCCUUGAUGUUCAUUUUGCUAUUCACAGGCCAUUUAUCUUUUCUUGCUUUCUUCUCAAUUCUCAUAUUGGCUUUUUUCUGAUUAUUCUUGAUUGUCUAGAUUUUUACCUUUAGAUUUUCUUGAAGCGUUCAAUUUUAGCCUUUAAAAAAGUUGUCUUUCAUGUUGUUUCCUCAUUUUUUUUCCUUUGUUUCUUAAAGAUUUUUCUUCUUUCAAAAUUAUGCCUGUCUAGCGUCAUGCUGCAUUUAACCAUCUUUGAGGUAAUUUUUCUUUCAAGAGCCAUUUGACAUUAGUUUGAUAUUUUCACAAGGUUCCAGUUUGUGUGUUUCUUUGGAAACAGUAAGCCUGCAAUGUUGUCCUUAUGCCUUUCUAUAAAACCCACCAAACCAAUGCUCUGCUGUACAACUAUUGCAUUCGUGUGAGUGCUAACUUAUGUAUUUUCUUUUGUUGUUUCUUGAGAUCGUAGCUAAUUGUGUUUUGUCUGCAAUAUUGAAAUUUGGAGUAAAUAGGCUCAAAUAAUUGUAAACCUUUUAUUCGACUCUGUUCAUGCAUGCUGCGGUCUGAAGAUGGUUGAAGCAAUGAUAUUACAUAUCAUUCUUCUGGAGACGAAUGAUUUUUUUUUUUUAUUAAUUCUUUUCAGUCUUCUGAUUCUAUGGAGUAUGGUGAGAAUCUUGUCGGCUUGAAGGUAAAGGUCUGGUGGCCCAAAGACCGUGAGUAAGUAUAUCUAUUUUUCAAUUGUUGCAGAAGCGAUCCUCUGAAUUAGAAACCAUGAAUUUUAUUUGUUUAUAUAUUCUUUUUUAUGUGGAUGCACAUGCGGGCAAAUGUGAUUGUGCUUAUAUAUGUGGGAGCCCCCAUCCCUCAAAUUAUAAUGUCAAUGAAUUAAAGUUGGUCAGCCUUGAAGCUUAUUAUCAUUUAUAAGCUCCUUUUCCCUUGUUCUCUCACACUUGAAUCUUUUAUUGCUGCAAGAAAAAAAAUGAUAAAUGUAAAGUGUUCUCUUUCAAACAUGGCAUGUCUGCUAAUUUCUUUCUUUUCUUAUGGAUAUUGUUUUGCAGGUUCUACGAAGGUUUUAUUCAUUCAUUUGAUUCCGCUAAAAAGAAGCACAAGGUGACCCGUCUAAUAAGUGGAAAUUCAUUUUAAUGUUUAUUUUCCUUAGUAUGUUACUGGAAGUUUUUCCUCUGACCAUUCAUGCUAGAAUGUAUUAAAUUAUUUUCUUCACUUUUCAUUUGUUUAUAGGUGCACUAUAAUGACGGUGAUGAAGAAAUUUUAAAUCUUAAAAGAGAAAAGUGGGCUGUGAUUGAAGAUGAGUCAGGGUCAGAUGAGGUGGGCACCUCAUAAGCAAUUGUAUGUUUAUUUGUUCAUGUACCAUGUUGCUAAUGUUUCAUUGAAACAGGAAGGUGCAGCAAAUCCACCAAGUCCUGAUGGUUCAUCUGACAUGUAGGUGAUUCCUAUUUGUGCUUCUUGAAUGUUAAAUUUGAUUGCUCGACCAUUUUGGUUCCAGAUGGUUCUGUUCAUUUUGGUCUUGUAUGAUGAACUUUUGCGUAGUUGGCAUCUAUAGUUUAAGUUGAUUCUGUUCCAUUCUUUAGCAUUGUUAAUUUUAUCUGAAAUGUGGAGUUUAUUUCAGGUUUAGGUGUUAUAUCUGGUGUAACUUUGCAUUUCUGUUUCACAUUCUUUGUUUGGGCUUAUCUUCUUUUCCCUUGUGAUCACUUUUUAUUGGCAGGCAUCAAAAGAAGAAGGCAAAAACCACUGAUCUCUCUAGCAAGAAAGCUAAGAUGGAUGCUUCACCAAAAAGGUUAUUAGAUUCUUUCAAAUGGAACCCUUGAUAUGUUCUUUAUUUGAUUUCUGAAAAUCCCAAUAUUGGAUGGUCAGGGGUGGAGGAACUUCGUCGGGGAAAUCCAAGGGUAGUGCCACAAAGUCUGGUCGCAAAACAAAGGAAGAUGCUAAAGUGGAUGGGAAAUCCAAAGAUGGUUCCAAGAGUGUUAGUAAAUCUGGCAAUGACAGUGUUGCUAAGUCCAAGGAUCAUAGCACCCCCAAAACUGGCAGUAAACCAGUUGACAAUGCUUCAAAAGUAGACAAGAAGUCCAAGAAUGAGGAGAGUGGUGAAACACCAAAGUCUACGAAAUCCAAGGAUGAUGGAAGUGCCACACCAAAAGCUUCCUCAAAGUUAAAGCAAGACAUCUCAAAGACGGCCAAUUCCAAGCAGGAAACCCCCAAAAUUUCGUCCCAAUCUAAGGGUAAGUCUCUUAAGAGUGGGGGCAAAUCCAAUUCUAAUGGCACUGGUAAGUCAAAAUCUGGUUCGUCAAAGGUGAAAGGAAGUGAAAGCGUGAAGGAGAGCUCAACUGAUUCAGCAAAAGUUGUGGGAAGUGUGAAGCGGAAAGCACCAAGUUUGUUGAAGGCGCAGGGAAGUGAUUCGAAGUCUGGAAAAAAGCGGCAAAGAUGAGUUGAAAGUCGCACCUACUGCAUUGUCAUUGCCAAGGGUUGGUUCUUCUCCAAUGUGGAACUUGGGUGAAUUGUAGUAUUUAUUGUAGCAUUUGGGUAUUUGACGUAGUUCUUAGGUUUGUGGCUAGCAAAUAUUCGUAGUUAAUGCAGUUUAUAG